rnacentral:rRNA from 1 species
GCCCUUACUCCUACGGGAGGCAGCAGUGGGGAAUAUUGGACAAUGGGGGCAACCCUGAUCCAGCAAUGCCGCGUGUGUGAAGAAGGCCUUCGGGUUGUAAAGCACUUUCGGUGGGGACAAACAAGGCGGAGCUAACAUCUCCGUCCCUGAUGGUACCCAAAGAAGAAGCACCGGCUAACUCUGUGCCAGCAGCCGCGGUAAUACAGAGGGUGCAAGCGUUAAUCGGAAUUACUGGGCGUAAAGGGUGCGUAGGUGGUUUGUUAAGUCAGGCGUGAAAUCCUCGGGCUCAACCUGGGAACUGCGCUUGAUACUGGCAGACUCGAGUGUGGUAGAGGAUAGUGGAAUUCCCGGUGUARCGGUGAAAUGCGUAGAUAUCGGGAGGAACAUCAGUGGCGAAGGCGGCUAUCUGGACUAACACUGACACUGAGGCACGAAAGCGUGGGUAGCAAACAGGAUUAGAUACCCUGGUAGUCCACGCCCUAAACGAUGGGUACUAGACGUCGGGAAGCUUGUCUUCUUGGUGUCGCAGCUAACGCAAUAAGUACCCCGCCUGGGGAGUACGGUCGCAAGAUUAAAACUCAAAUGAAUUGACGG